UACGGGGGGGGCAAGCGUUGUUCGGAAUUACUGGGCGUAAAGGGCGCGUAGGCUGCUCGUUAAGUCGGGUGUGAAAACUCUGGGCUCAACCCAGAGCCUGCAUUCGAAACUGACGAGCUAGAGUUCUGGAGGGGAAAGCGGAAUUCCUGGUGUAGCGGUGAAAUGCGUAGAUAUCAGGAGGAACACCGGUGGCGAAGGCGGCUUUCUGGACAGAAACUGACGCUGAGGCGCGAAAGCUAGGGGAGCAAACAGG
rnacentral:rRNA from 1 species